rnacentral:pre_miRNA from 1 species
AAUAAGUUCAUUUUUCAGUUUUUGGAUACAAUGUUUUGACUUUGCGUCUUAUUUGAAAUUUUUUUGCGAUUAAUAUUUUUAUUGUUACUAAAUGAUAAAACAUGAAUAGUACUUUAUGCGUGACUAAUUUUUUUUAGUUUUUGUACAAAUUUUUCAAAUAAGACGAAUGGUGACACAAAAAUCAAAAAAUGAAGUUAUU